CCCGAAUUAGAAAGAUUUACUUAUGAAUAAAUAUUAUUGUGGCAUAAACAUUUAAAAUUCUUAGGUGGUAGUGAAACGUUAUUCGUUUUUUAAUAUAUCUGGUUUCUUAAGAAAUAAAUUUAAUUUACUUGCUAAGUAAAAUUUAUCUUAUUAUUUGGUUAACUUUAUUUAGUAUUCAUAUUUAAGGGGAUAAGCUUUUAAAUAUAUUAUUUUGACUAACUGGUUGAUUCUUAUUAGUAGGGUUAGAAUUUCCUAUCAUUAUAGUAUGUUAUAAUUAUACGGGGCUAUGAUUUGAUUUUUGUUAGUUAAGAUUAUUUAUUGAGAAUUUAUAUUUAAUAAGGGAUUAUAAGAUAUGAUGAUUAAAUUAGUAAAUUUAUAUGUUUAAUUAAAUUAUGAGAAAUAGGUUAAAAUAAGGAAUUCGGCAAAUAAAUUUCUUGCCUGUUUAUUAAAAACAUGUCCUUUUGAUAAUAAUUUAAGGUCUAGCCUGCCCACUGAGGUUUUAAAAGGCUGCGGUAUUUUGACCGUACAAAGGUAGCAUAAUCAUUAGUUUUUUAAUUAAAAGCUUGUAUGAACGGCUGGACAAAGGAAUAGCUGUCUCAUUUUAAUUUUAGGUCGAAAUUAAUUUUUAAGUUAAAAAGCUUAAAUAAUUCUUGAAGACGAGAAGACCCUAUAGAGUUUUACAUAGAAAUGUUGCUGAGUAAUUAGGAAUUUCUGUUUUAAGCAUAUGUUAUGUUUUGUUGGGGUGACAGGGAAAUUUAUAUAACUUUCUUUAUUUUUUAACAUUGAUAUAUGAGCACUUGAUCCGAUUAUUUCGAUUAAAAGAUUAAAUUACCUUAGGGAUAACAGCGUAAUUUCUUUAGAGAGUUCUUAUCGAAAUAGAAGUUUGCGACCUCGAUGUUGGAUUAAAAUUUACUAUUGGUGUAGCAGCUAAUAAGUUUGGGUCUGUUCGACCCUUAAAAUUUUACAUGAUCUGAGUUUAGACCGGCGUGAGCCAGGUUGGUUUCUAUCUCUAGAAUAAGAUUUUUCCCAGUACGAAAGGACCGGAGAAA
rnacentral:rRNA from 1 species